GCUGCGAUGCCUUACCAUGCAGUCGAACGGUAACGGGCCUUCGGGUGCCGACGAGUGGCGAACGGGUGAGUAAUGCAUCGGAACGUACCUUUCAGUGGGGGAUAACGUAGCGAAAGUUACGCUAAUACCGCAUAUUCUGUGAGCAGGAAAGCAGGGGAUCGCAAGACCUUGCGCUGAUUGAGCGGCCGAUGUCAGAUUAGCUAGUUGGUGAGGUAAAGGCUCACCAAGGCGACGAUCUGUAGCGGGUCUGAGAGGAUGAUCCGCCACACUGGAACUGAGACACGGUCCAGACUCCUACGGGAGGCAGCAGUGGGGAAUUUUGGACAAUGGGGGCAACCCUGAUCCAGCCAUGCCGCGUGAGUGAAGAAGGCCUUCGGGUUGUAAAGCUCUUUCGGCCGGGAAGAAAUCGCAUGGGUUAAUACCCUGUGCGGAUGACGGUACCGGCAUAAGAAGCACCGGCUAACUACGUGCCAGCAGCCGCGGUAAUACGUAGGGUGCGAGCGUUAAUCGGAAUUACUGGGCGUAAAGCGUGCGCAGGCGGUUUUGUAAGACAGGCGUGAAAUCCCCGGGCUCAACCUGGGAACUGCGCUUGUGACUGCAAGGCUAGAGUACGGCAGAGGGGGGUGGAAUUCCACGUGUAGCAGUGAAAUGCGUAGAGAUGUGGAGGAACACCAAUGGCGAAGGCAGCCCCCUGGGUCGAUACUGACGCUCAUGCACGAAAGCGUGGGUAGCAAACAGGAUUAGAUACCCUGGUAGUCCACGCCCUAAACGAUGUCAACUAGGUGUUGGGUGGGUAAAACCAUUUAGUACCGUAGCUAACGCGUGAAGUUGACCGCCUGGGGAGUACGGCCGCAAGGUUAAAACUCAAAGGAAUUGACGGGGACCCGCACAAGCGGUGGAUGAUGUGGAUUAUUCGAUGCAACGCGAAAACCUUACUACCCUUGACUGU
rnacentral:rRNA from 1 species